UAUAUAUAUAUAUAUAUAUAUUUGUGUGUAGGAAGAUGAGCGUACAUAAAUGUAUUCCUCCGGGGGCAGCGCGCUCUUUCCGUCUCUUCCCUGUGUGUGGCGUCCAGGAAGACGGUGUCAGCGUAAUCUUUUGGUCCUUCCCCCGAGCACAGUUUUCAGGUCGCACGUGGUGUUUAUGCGGGAGCAGAGGGGUUUUUUCUUCCGCGGCCAGACGCGAUUGGUCAAACGUGGACGCUCGGCCUGUGUGUAUGCGAUCUCACUUGAGGCACGCAAAUGUCCGGAAGGCGGUCGUCCUGGGUUCUUCCUUCGCUUCGCUCUCUCCACGACUCUGCGACAGACCCGAGAACGAUGCGGACCGCCGCCCCCAAGCUCCCCGCCGUUUUCUGGCCUCUGCGCCAGGAGUCUCGCCGUCUGCAUGCAAAAGGCGAGUUGGUGCACUUCCCUCUUCUCCGCUCCUCUCGCUGUCUCCGCCUCCGUCCCCCGGGGCGUCUUCGCGCCUGAGCGCGUCGCCCGCUGCCGCGAGGUUCGCGCGGUCGACUUGCCCGCCUCGCUCCGACACAGCGACUCGCGCGCCGCUCGAAAAGAAAUUUUCCCUCGAGGCCUCGUCCUUCUCGCGGAGCGGUGAGGGAUCCGACCCCUCGCCCGCUCCCUUAGAAGGCGCAAAGGGGGAAGAAGAAGACGGAGAAGAAGAGGAUAGACUGCGAGGAGGGGAAGUGUACUUUUGAGCACGAGGGACAGAGACAAGGGGUGCACGAGACACGAGGUCGUGUGGGAUCCACAGAGGGCCGGAGACGACGUAAACUUCUUCGUACAGGCGUGCGAGUGAUUUCGUUAGCACCUCCAACUUGAACCUGUGCAUGCAAUUGUGGAAAAAGAGAAAUACCAGAACAGAGACAAAUUGAUGGGGGGGAAGGUCCGCUGAAACACGGGACAAAUGCGUGCGUUUAUCUUCCACGAUUUCUCCACUUAAUCCUGUCAUAGGGAUGGCAUCCGCUUCCAUUGUUCAGAGAAAUCACACUGCGCAAGCACGUGUCGCGAUACAAAAAUAUGCAUGCAUAUGGGUGGAGGAAUGCCAUUCAAGUAAGCACGGAAAUAUAUAUAUAUAUAUAUGUGAAUUUACACAUGCAGGAAUAUCUCUGCAAAGAUGCAUGCACAUGCACGACUAGCAAAUCGUCGUUGUCUGGAGAUCCUUGUUCGCUUCCUCUCUUGCUGCGAGCUUUUCCCCCAUCGCUCCGACUCCCCAGCAGGCGUUUCGAGCCGUUGAGGAACAAACCGUUCUCUCCUGUGUUUAUCCCAUUCUUCCGUGUACGCAGAAACGUUCAUGCGUAUACAGGCAUUCAUAGAUACCUAUGUGGAUUUGCAUGCGACUGUAGAUCGACACACAUUUUCAUCGUGUACCCCUGCACACGUCGCU
rnacentral:lncRNA from 1 species